rnacentral:rRNA from 1 species
AACGCUAGCUACAGGCUUAACACAUGCAAGUCGCGGGGCAGCAUUUUCUUAGCUUGCUAAGGAAGAUGGCGACCGGCGCACGGGUGAGUAACGCGUAUCCAACCUUCCCAUGUCCACGGGAUAGCCCGUCGAAAGGCGGAUUAAUACCGUAUGAGGUCACAUGCGGGCAUCUAAUUGUGACGAAAGGUUUUGCGGACAUGGAUGGGGAUGCGUCCGAUUAGCUAGUUGGCGGGGUAACGGCCCACCAAGGCGACGAUCGGUAGGGGUUCUGAGAGGAAGGUCCCCCACAUUGGAACUGAGACACGGUCCAAACUCCUACGGGAGGCAGCAGUGAGGAAUAUUGGUCAAUGGACGCAAGUCUGAACCAGCCAAGUAGCGUGCAGGAUGACGGCCCUAUGGGUUGUAAACUGCUUUUAUGCGGGGAUAAAGUUUGGGAUGUAUCCCAUAUUGCAGGUACCGCAUGAAUAAGGACCGGCUAAUUCCGUGCCAGCAGCCGCGGUAAUACGGAAGGUCCGGGCGUUAUCCGGAUUUAUUGGGUUUAAAGGGAGCGUAGGCCGUCUUUUAAGCGUGUUGUGAAAUACUGUCGCUCAACGACAGAGGUGCAGCGCGAACUGGGAGACUUGAGUGCGCGGAAUGCGGGCGGAAUUCGUCGUGUAGCGGUGAAAUGCUUAGAUAUCACGAAGAACUCCGAUUG